rnacentral:SRP_RNA from 1 species
GCCAUGAAGUCGCGUGACGAUCGAGCUACAAACUCCGCCAGGCCCGGAAGGGAGCAACGGUAGUUAGCAAGAUCGGGUGCGCGGCUUCUUUUUUUU